rnacentral:ncRNA from 19 species
AUAUUUUAUGGAGAUGAAGAUUUCAAGGCUUAUUUGUACGCUUUGCCUUGAAGGAGUUAGUGGCGUAACCGACCUGAUGGUCG